rnacentral:rRNA from 1 species
AGGACGAACGCUGGCGGCGUGCUUAACACAUGCAAGUCGAACGGAAAGGCCCGCUUGCGGGUACUCGAGUGGCGAACGGGUGAGUAACACGUGGGCAACCUGCCCUCAGCUUCGGGAUAACACUUGGAAACAGGUGCUAAUACCGGAUAAUAACUUUUCAUCGCAUGGUGGAUGGUUCAAAGUUUUUCGGCUGAGGAUGGGCCCGCGGCCUAUCAGCUUGUUGGUGGGGUAAUGGCCUACCAAGGCGACGACGGGUAGCCGGCCUGAGAGGGCGACCGGCCACACUGGGACUGAGACACGGCCCAGACUCCUACGGGAGGCAGCAGUGGGGAAUAUUGCGCAAUGGGCGGAAGCCUGACGCAGCGACGCCGCGUGAGGGAUGACGGCCUCGGUUGUAAACCUCUUCAGCUCUGACGAAGCGCAAGUGACGGUAGGAGCGAGAGAAGCGACCGGCCAACUACGUGCCAGCAGCCGC